rnacentral:rRNA from 1 species
UACGUAGGCAGCAAGCGUUGUUCGGAAUUACUGGGCGUAAAGAGCGUGUAGGCGGUUUGGUAGGUCCGCUGUGAAAACUCGAGGCUCAACCUCGAGACGCCGGUGGAAACCAUCAGACUAGAGUCCGGAAGAGGAGAGUGGAAUUCCUGGUGUAGCGGUGAAAUGCGCAGAUAUCAGGAGGAACACCGGUGGCGAAGGCGGGUCUCUGGGCCGAUAUUGACGCUGAGGAGCGAAAGCGUGGGGAGCGAACAGG